rnacentral:tRNA from 1 species
GAUUCAGCAGCUCGGUUGGAGGAGCGCCGCCCGGCGAAGGCGGAGGGUGCAGGUUCAAGUCCUGCCUGAAUCACCA